CCUACGGGAGGCAGCAGUGGGGAAUAUUGGGCAAUGGAGGCGACUCUGACCCAGCAAAGCCGCGUGAGUGAUGAAGGUACUGUUAUUGUAAAGCUCUUUUCUUUGGAACGCAUAAAUGACGGUGCCAAAGGAAUAAGCCCCGGCUAACUACGUGCCAGCGGCCGCGGUAAUGCGUAGGGGGCAGGCAUUGUUCGGAAUGAGUGGGCGUAAAGGGUGUGUAGGGGGUUUUAUAUGUUAUGUGUGUAAUACCCAGGGCUUAACCCGGGUGCUGCAUCUAAAACUGUCAGACUUGAGUACUGGAGAGGAUAGUGGAAUUCCUAGUGUAGCGGUGGAAUGCGUAGAUAUUAGGAGGAACAUCAGUGGCGAAGGCGACUAGCUGGACAGCCACUGACACUGAGGCACGAAAGCGUGGGGAGCAAACAGGAUUAGAUACCCUGGUAGUC
rnacentral:rRNA from 1 species